UACGGGGGGAGCAAGCGUUGUUCGGAUUUACUGGGCGUAAAGGGCGCGUAGGCGGCCAGCACAAGUCAGUUGUGAAAUCUCCGAGCUUAACUCGGAAAGGUCAACUGAUACUGUGCGGCUAGAGUGCGGAAGGGGCAACUGGAAUUCUUGGUGUAGCGGUGAAAUGCGUAGAUAUCAAGAGGAACACCUGCGGCGAAGGCGGCUCACUGGUCCGGUACUGACGCUGAGGUGCGAAAGCGUGGGGAGCAAACAGG
rnacentral:rRNA from 1 species